rnacentral:rRNA from 1 species
GACGAACGCUGGCGGCGUGCCUAAUACAUGCAAGUAGGACGCAGUUGCGAACGGGGGAGUAACGCGUAGGUAACUACCUAGUAGAGGGGGAGAACUAGUGGAAACGAUAGCUAAUACCGCAUACUAGUAGAUGGACCGGCGUUGUAUUAGCGAGUAGGUAGGGUAAUGGCCUACCUAGGCAACGAUACAUAGCCGACCUGAGAGGGUGAUCGGCCACACUGGGACUGGGACACGGCCCAGACUCCUACGGGGUGCAGCAGUAGGGAAUCUUCGGCCAUGGGGGGAACCCUGACCGAGCCACGCCGCGUGAGUGAAGAAGGUUUUCGGAUCGUAAAGCUCUGUUGUUAAGGAAGCGGUACUUAACCAGAAAGGGACGGCUAACUACGUGCCAGCAGCCGCGGUAAUAC